AACGAACGCUGGCGGCAGGCCUAACACAUGCAAGUCGAGCGGGGACUUCGGUCCUAGCGGCGGACGGGUGAGUAACGCGUGGGAACGUGCCCUUUGCUUCGGAAUAGCCCCUGGAAACGGGGAGUAAUACCGGAUGUGCCCUAUGGGGGAAAGAAUUUCGGCAAAGGAUCGGCCCGCGUUGGAUUAGGUAGUUGGUGGGGUAAUGGCCUACCAAGCCGACGAUCCAUAGCUGGUUUGAGAGGAUGAUCAGCCACACUGGGACUGAGACACGGCCCAGACUCCUACGGGAGGCAGCAGUGGGGGAAUCUUAGACAAUGGGCGCAAGCCUGAUCUAGCCAUGCCGCGUGAGCGAUGAAGGCCUUAGGGUUGUAAAGCUCUUUCGUGGGGGGAAGAUAAUGACGGUACCCCCAAGAAGAAGCCCCGGCUAACUCCGUGCCAGCAGCCGCGGUAAU
rnacentral:rRNA from 1 species